ACUACGGCAGUAACACUGAUAUGUUGCUUGAUAGAACCACCUUAAAGUAAUUCAGGAUGUAAAUAAUAUUUUUAUACAAGGUUCACUCCAAAAGUAAUGCCCGACAUUAAAUAAAACGUUUUUAUUCCACAGCCUUGCUUUUUUCAUAGUUCGUAUUCCGCUUUGUAUUCGUGCUUAAUUCAUUCACUUCCCGCUACUGGCGUUGUUAUACCAUACGUUCAAAAUGGCGGAUGCACUUGAUAUCCUUCAGAAGCAACGUGCUGUAAUUGAAUUCUUGGUGUGUGAGAACGAGACAGUACGAAACAUCCACAACUGAUUGCAGGUGUAAGGGGACGAUGCUGUCGGCCGCAGCACAGGUUACGUUGGGCAAAGUGAUUAUCUGGGAAAAGUGGGCAUGCUGAUAUGCAUGUCUUUCCGCGCAGUGGCAGCUCGUGCAGGUCUUUUUUAGAAGACUGUUGAAAUGCAAAGUUGGCAACAAUUCCACAAAUAACUUGGGAAAAUUGAAAAGUCUCUGAAUAAUAAAUGUGUGAGUAUGGCAGAAUGCCUACCUGCAAAACACCAGCGACCUGUUGUUCGGGCAAAUCCAAGCAUGAACAAAGCAAUGAGAAGCACCAGGACAGCCACAACAAUUCCAAUGAUGGGGCCAGUUCCAAGUUCCAGUGAUCCUGUUUAGAAAGACAUAUCCCAUCCUAAAAUGGCUCUGCUCCAUGUGGUGGAAGGUCCCGCCUGAAUCAUCCCCAAUGUAUGACACCAUGUUACUUCCAUCUGUUCAGCCCCCUCAAGAAGGAUUUAUAGGGCUACAGAUUCAGGUCAGAUAAAGACGCCAAGGUUGCACUGGUGCAGUGGUUCCAGCAGCCAUCCGAGGAGUGUUUUGAAGAGGAUCCACUCGUUGGUGCAUCAAUGGGAAUUUGCCCAUGGACUACCUUUAUCAGUGUCUACUCCUUUGCUCAGAUCAUUCCCCACCUAGGUUUCAUUUGAACAACCCUCAUACAAACCCAUUCACACAAUCAAAGUAAAAUGAUAUACUGAUUACUAGAACAUACAAAUUUUAUAAUUAACGAACACACCUCCAUUAUUACUCUCAGACUGUGACCUGUAUAGGAAAAUGGCUGUAAAGCAUCAACAUGUUGGAAAUUUGAUAUAAUUUAAUGGGCAGGCAAUGCAAAAAAUAUGUAUCAUAAAUCUAGAGUUGCUAAAUAAAGAAGCUAGUAUUUAAGCUGAAUGAAAA